AUUGAACGCUGGCGGCAGGCCUAACACAUGCAAGUCGAGCGGAUGAAGGGAGCUUGCUCCUGGAUUCAGCGGCGGACGGGUGAGUAAUGCCUAGGAAUCUGCCUGGUUGUGUGGGAUAACGUCCGGAAACGGGCGCUAAUACCGCAUACGUCCUGAGGGAGAAAGUGGGGGAUCUUCGGACCUCACGCUAUCAGAUGAGCCUAGGUCGGAUUAGCUAGUUGGUGGGGUAAAGGCCUACCAAGGCGACGAUCCGUAACUGGUCUGAGAGGAUGAUCAGUCACACGGGAACUGAGACACGGUCCAGACUACUACGGGAGGCAGCAGUGGGGAAUAUUGGACAAUGGGCGAAAGCAUGAUCCAGCCAUGCAGCGUGUGUGAAGAAGGACUUCGGAUGGUAAAGAACUUUAAGUUGGGAGGAAGGGAAGUAAGUUAAUACCUUGCUGUAUUGACGUUACCAACAGAAUAAGCACCGGCUAACUUCGUG
rnacentral:rRNA from 1 species